UACUGCGUGAUGAUUUGAAUUUAUCAAUGGGAAUCUCUCUGAAAAAGGAUGAGGGAGAACUUUAUACUGACUUGGUA